AGGACUGUGGCGCAGUUGGUACCGCACUUGACUGGUACUCAGAGGGGCAUGGGUUCAAGCCCCGUCAGCUCCAGCCA
rnacentral:tRNA from 1 species